GGACGCCUGGUUCUCAACCAGGAAAUCGCGGGUUCAAAUCCCGCCGGGGUCACCA
rnacentral:tRNA from 1 species